UACGUAGGGGGCGAGCGUUGUCCGGAGUUACUGGGCGUAAAGCGCACGCAGGCGGUCUGCUAAGUUUGGAGUGACAGUUGGUGGCUUAACUGCCAAAGUGCUUCGAAAACUGACAGACUUGAGGGCUUCAGAGGGACACGGAAUUCCGGGUGGAGUGGUGAAAUGCGCAGAUAUCAGGAGGAACACCGGUGGCGAAGGCGGAUCUCUGGGCCAUUACUGACGCUGAGGAGCGAAAGCGUGGGGAGCGAACAGG
rnacentral:rRNA from 1 species